UCCAGCAGAGGGACCGUGAGAGCAAAGCCUUCACGACUGAUGAGGAUUUGAGCCGGCAGAUGCCUACAGUGGUGAGCAAAGGCAGUGUGAUGGGGUAAGAGCAAAGGUGCUGACAAGGGCUCCGCAAACGGCCAUACGCAAUGACAUUUAAUUCCUUUCUGAUUAUGCCCCACCUCUAUUAUCCUCCCAGAAGUCCGUCUUCUCUAUAGAUUGCUAGGGUGUUUCCCAAGGUGUGUGGUUAAGUUUAUUCAACAAGGAAUAGUGCAGGGCAUUUGACUUUGUUAGUUAUGUGGACCUAGCUCCAACAGUUCCAAGUCCUAGAUGCUCAUGUGGACUCCUGAGACCAGCUCUGGAUCUGGGUCCCUUCGGAUCAGUAGCAUCAAUUCUGCAAAGAUACUGUCCACCCAGGUACCCUAUGGAUGGUAUGGUGCUGCAACCAGACAGACACCCCUUGUGAAUCUUAAACUCUGGUUCUUUUGUUAAGAGUACACUUAAGUUUUCUGCUCUGAAUUUCUUUUCUAACUCACAGAAGAGGGGAAAAAAAAACAACAUAUUUUUAUUCUUCUUCCCUUUCAAAAACACAAGUUGCAAAACUUUGUGAAUUUGACAAAUAAAGGCUUUUAUUUUCUCCAAAA